rnacentral:lncRNA from 1 species
UAGGGAAUGAGUUUCUUUUAAUCCAUUAAGUAACAAAUUCGAUACUCAAGAGGAAUAAUACACCAAAGAAUCAUGAUUGCUGACAAACAUGUUAGCUAUAUAGAACACAAACACGGGAAUCAGAUACCCGUCUGAGAUGCCAACAGUUGAGCGCAAAACUAACUCAGGAUUUCGACCAACUGUUCUCGAAUCAAGUCUGAUACGACCUCCAAUGAAUAUUUGUCGGUAUCACGAGGUUUCCACCUUUCGAGCAGGUGUGAGCUCCACAAGAACAGAGUGAAAAUAAUAGAGAUAAGAAAGAAAGAAACUUUUGUGUAUUAUAUUCUUGCCUUUACUCACGCCUUUCCACUUUACAUAUACCCUUUUCAUUCUACCACUUUUUGUGUAACUAACCAAUUGCAAUAAUAAAACAAAGAUAAUAAAAAUCACAGCUGUCCUCAUGGAAUAAUUCUCCCGAAUAUUCCCCUAGGUGAUAUAGUCCUUGAGAUAUUCUGGAGUUUUGCGAGCAUGAGCUGGCCGUUGCAAUGUUUGCUCCACUCCCUGCAUUUCAACUACAGGGCCAUCUUCCAACUCCCUUACUUUAAUGGGCCAGGAUGUAUCACUCCCCUCCCCUUGAGAAUGAACCUUGUCCUCAAGGUUAAACUCUGGGUACAGUCUGCAGAACUCAGCAAAGUCUUCCCAAGUUGAAUUCUCAGGAGCACAGCCAGACCACUGAACCAAAAUUUGAUAAUGCUUUUUUCCUUGUUUUAAUAUGAAUAGGUCAGCAAGUAUAGCUAUAGGAGUAGAGACAGGCUUGUUGUCAAUGGUAUCAGGAGGCAAAGAGGCAACAUAAACAGCCGAGUUUCCCACAUAAGGUUUGAGUGCUGAGAUGUGAAAUACCGGGUGAACUUUGCAUCCUUCAGGCAAUUGCAGCUUAUAAGCAACAGCUCCGAUUCGUUCUGAUACUCGGAAAGGGCCAUAAUGCCGUUUAGCCAACUUUUGAGAAGCACGCUUAGCCACUGAAAUUUGUCGAUGAGGUUGAAGGCGGACCAAAACAAGAUCAUCAAUCUGUAACUGGAGUUCUCGUCGAUGGGCAUUGGCUUUUUGUUCCAUACAAUGCUGAGCUUGAAGUAAAUUAGUUUUUAAAGUUCUCAACAAUUCAUCGCGCUCUAACAACAGAUCUUCUAAGGCUUGAACCGAAGUAGAACCUUUUGUAUAUCCAGGAAUUGUGGGGGGUAAUCUCCCAUAGAGUGCUUGAAAAGGUGUCAUCUUCAACCCACUGUGAUAGCUUGUGUUGUAACAAAAUUCAGCCCAACCUAACAAGCUUGACCAUGACUACGGUUUGUCCUGAGUAAAGGCUCUUAAGUACUGUUCAAGGCCACGAUUCACUAUCUCAGUUUGGCCGUCAGUUUGAGGGUGAUAAGCAGUACUGUGCCGCAAUGUAGUGCCACUUAACUCAAAUAGUUUCUGCCAAAAAUUACUCAUGAAUAUAGGAUCUCGAUAUGAUAUUAUUGAGCUUGGAAACCCAUGUAACUUGACUACCAAAUCAGCAAAAAGAGUGGUUGUUUUGCUGGCUGUGAACUGAGAUGGCAGUGCACCAAAGUGGGCUGAUUUCGUUAAGCGAUCCACUACCACCAAGAUUACCUCGAAGCCUUUAGAAGUUGGCAAGCCUGUAAUAAAAUCCAUAGUCAAAGCAUCCCAAACAAGUGAAGGAACGGGUAAAGGUUGAAGUAAUCCAGCAGGUGCUUGAGUAGAAUUUUUAAUUUGCUGACAUGUAAGACAGGCAGCAAUGUAGUUCUCAACAUCAAAGCGCAUUUUUGGCCAAAAAAAAGUAGAAGAAAGCCGAACUAGGGUGCGUUUCACGCCUGCAUGCCCUGCCAUGGGGGAGUCAUGGAAUUCCUUAAGAAGUGUGCUCUUUAAUUUGGAGUGAGGACUGACGUAGUAUCGAUGGUUGUAAAGUAAUAGUCCCUCACGAACCGAGAAGGCUGAAGAAAGUUCUCCCGUGGCAAACUUGUGAUGAAGUAACAACAGAUCAGGCAAGGACCAAUUGUCCUCAUGCAAAGUGGUUAGGAUAUCCACGGUUGGCUUGGAGAUUAUAGAGAACAACUCAGCUUGAGAAUUUAUGGAGUCGGAAAAUUGAUCCGCAUGUACUCGAGAUAAGGCAUCCGCAACCUUAUUGGAACUUCCCGGCUUAUACUCAAUUCGAAAAUGAAAACCCAACAAUUUCCUGACAUAAGCUUGUUGUUCAGGAGUUUGAAUUACCUGGUGAAACAACUCUUUAAUGCUUUUAUGAUCGGUUCGAAUGAUGAAAAAGCGACCGAGUAAGUAUUGGCGCCAUUUUUGUACAGCAGCAACAAUCGCGUGCAGUUCUUUGAUAUAAGUUGAGGCAACCCGCAAUCGAGGACCCAACUUUUGACUAAAAUAAGAAAUGGGAUGACCUUGUUGCAUCAAUACUGCUCCAACUCCAAUAUUAGAAGCAUCCGUCUCUAUAACAAAUUCAAGCUCAAAAUCGGGUAAAUGCAAUACCGGGGCAGCCACCAUUGCAUUUUUUAAAGUCAUAUAGGCAUCCGAAGCUGCUGGAGACCAAUGGAAUGCCUCUUUACACAACAAAUCUGUCAAUGGGGCCGCAAUUGAAGCAUAACCUCAGAUAAAUCGGCGAUAAUAGCCUGUGAGCCCGAGAAAGCCUCGUAGUUGCUUAACAGUCUGCGGCAAUGGCCAUUCCACCAUGGCUGCAACUUUUUUAGGGUCUGCCUGUACUCCUCCAGCAGUCACUAUGUGGCCCAAAUAAUCAAUAGCUUCUUGGCAAAAUAGACAUUUCGACAACUUGACAUAAAACUGAUGUUCUUGCAAACGAAACAAAACAUGUUCCAAGUGAUUGACAUGAGCAGUCAAUGAAGAACUAUAAACCAAAAUGUCAUCGAAAAAAACAAUAACAAAUUUGCGUAAGUAAGAUGCAAAUAGUUGAUUCAUAGUUGCUUGAAAUGUCGAGGGGGCAUUAGUUAAACCAAAUGGCAUGACCAGAAAUUCGUAAUGCCCCUCAUGAGUACGAAAUGCUGUUUUAUAAGUAUCUCGCUUAUGAACUCGGAUCUGGUGGUAACCAGCUCUCAAAUCCAGCUUGCUGAAAAUCCGUGCUCCUCCUAGCUCAUCAAAUAAUUCAUCAAUUGUGGGAAUAGGAAAUUUAUCCGGCACUGUAACUGCAUUCAAGGCUCGGUAAUCAACACAAAACCUGUAUGUGCCAUCCUUUUUCUUGACCAACAAAACGAGAGAGGAGAAAGGGUUGUGGCUUGGCUUUAUUAUCCCCUGUUCUAACAUUUCCUUGACUAGUUUUUCCAUUUCUGAUUUUUGAAAAUGAGGAUAUCUAUAGGGCCUCACAUUCACUGGCUUUGAAGUAGGCAGGAGGUGAAUUUUAUGGUCAAUGAGUCUAUGAGGAGGUAGACCCGUAGGUGGGGAAAAUAAGGUUUUAUAUUGUUGAAGGAGAAUGGUGAUUUGUUCGGGUAAUUGGGUGGGAAUGUGAGGUUCCGAGAGGGAGAAAUUUGUAUCGGAAGCAAGUGUGUCAUUACUAAUGGGAUGCAGCUCAAAUAAUGAAUGGACGACAUCUGUAGAUAACAAAGCAUGAAAUUGAUGGAAGGAGAUCAUAUUAGGGGUUUGGAUGGGGUCACCUCGUAAAAUGAUUGGAUUGCCCUCCCAACAAAAUUCCAUAGUCAUUGCACGGUAGUCUGUAGAUAUUUUACCAAGGUGUUGAAGCCACUGGAUUCCCAGGACAACAUCGGGACCUUCAAUUGGCAAUAUAUAGAAAUCCAACUUGAAAGUGUGACCCUGUAUCACUAGUGGCACUUGAAGACAUUGAAAACGGCAAAUUAAGAAGUCGUCAUUACCAAUAUAAACCCGAAAAGCAGGGAUGGAUUGAAUUUGCAGGCCAAGUCGUUCUGCCCAUUGUGGUUUGAUGAAGUUGUGUGUACUGCCACUAUCUAUUAAAACAUGUAAGUGUUGGCGGCCAAUUUCGCCUAGUACCCUCAAAGAACGUGGGUUAGAUUGCCCAGCUAGUGCAUUUAAGCUGGAUAUAUCAGCUGUCACAACUUCCUCUGUUUGUUCAAGUAAGGGAGACUCCUCCGAUGGUUCACUGUCAUCAUCAUCUGUGCCUAACAACAAGAGAAAUUUACUACGGCAAUGAUGGUUUGCACUAUAUUUCUGGUCGCAAUUGUAACACAACCCCUUGUCUCUUUUUUCUUUCAAUUCCAUCUGGGAGAGACGACGGAUGGGGAGGGCUGGAGUGGGUAAAAGUGGCGGUGGUGGUAUUGGUUUUGGGGUAGGUAAAAGUGGCGGUUGGGAUGAUGGUUUUUGAGUAGCAAAACUGGUAUGUGGAUAAGUGGAAGGAAAUUUGUUGUGGACAUGGUGAGUGAGAGCAGGGGUGGUUUGUUGUGGUUGAGGAGUAACAGCGUUCCAUUUUGUCCACGAACGGCCUGAAAUUUUUGAUUCCUCAGAUUUAGCUUCAUAUGCUCGUGCUAGAGCAAAGGCUUCCAUGAGGGACGUGGGUCUGCCAAACAACAACUCUCGCCGAAUAUCAGGUUUUAAACCAGUGAUAAAGAAACUAAUCAGUAACGGCUCGGAAAUGCCCGUGACUUUAUUCAUCAACUCUUCGAAGGCAGAUUGAAACUCUGCGACUGUAGAUGUUUGUGUGAGCUUGGACAAAUUGCCCUGAUGAUCUUCAUACAUAGAAGCACCAAAACGUUGUUUGAGAUUGAUUAAAAAACUUUGCCAAGUGCUCAAUAGAUUGUUGGCUUUCAUCCACUGAAACCAUGCAGCAGCUUUUCCUUCCAUAUGAAAAGAAACAAUACGUAACCGUAGCUGAUCCGGAGUGCCAUGAAAAUCAAAAAAUUCAUUGAUUCGAAAAUCCCAUCCAUUUGGAUCAGUACUAUCAAACUUUGGAACCUCCAUUUUCAUGGAGCGUAACAGAGGUGAAUUAUCCGUACUACUAACAAGAGUAGUGGACUGUGUUGGGAAAGCCGUCGACGAUGUCGGAACCGUAGUCGAAGAUGACGGUGUUGACGCCGAAGGACGGGAUGAACCUCCUGAAACUCCGAUAGAACUACUGAUAUGAGACCGUAGCUCCUCAAAACGAGAAUCAACCAUGGACAUAUAUUUUUGGAGGUUUUGAUGAACAGCCAGUGUGUGGCUUUCAAGAAGUGUUUGCAUCUUAGAAAUAAUCUCAGGAUCCGUUGUGGCCUCUUGGUUGGUCAUUUUUGCAGAGAAAUAGGGAGUAGACGACAGAGAAUGACAAGGAGCAGAAAAAAAGGCAAUGAAAGCACCAGUUGAUACGACCUCCAAUGAAUAUUUGUCAGUAUCACGAGGUUUCCACCUUUCGAGCAGGUGUGAGCUCCACAAGAACAGAGUGAAAAUAAUAGAGAUAAGAAAGAAAGAAACUUUUGUGUAUUAUAUUCUUGCCUUUACUCACGCCUUUCCACUUUACAUAUACCCUUUUCAUUCUACCACUUUUUGUGUAACUAACCAAUUGCAAUAAUAAAACAAAAAUAAUAAAAAUCACAGCUGUCCUCAUGGAAUAAUUCUCCCGAAUAUUCCCCUAGGUGAUAUAGUCCUUGAGAUAUUCUGGAGUUUUGCGAGCACGAGCUGGCCGUUGCAAUGUUUGCUCCACUCCCUGCAUUUCAACUACAGGGCCAUCUUCCAACUCCCUUACUUUAAUGGGCCAGGAUGUAUCAAAGUCCCUCCCCAAGGUUCUGAAGNNNNNNNNNNNNNNNNNNNNNNNNNNNNNNNNNNNNNNNNNNNNNNNNNNNNNNNNNNNNNNNNNNNNNNNNNNNNNNNNNNNNNNNNNCAUGUUUUCUUCCGGUCUCGGCGCGUUUCAUUCAAGCAUUGUUAAAGGGCGACAUACUAGGACUCAUACUCGGACUCAUGCUUGGGCUUUCUUCUCUUAAAGUACCAUUCAGCAUCGCUAAUUCCCGCAGUUGUUGCUUCUUGUAAUGAUCCAAUGAUUCAUCCUGCAUACAGAGAUGAGUUUGAACAAGCAGGAAUUAGGAGAGAUGCUAAAGGAAAGAAUAUCGACAAAGUUAAGAGAAAAUACAAGAGUUUUUUUUGUUCAUACCACGGGCUUCAAAAGGUUCUCUAGUAUUGCUACAGCAUGAUCCAAGCGGGAAUUUAUUAUAUCCUCUGGAAAUUCGGCCUCCACUAACACAUGCAGUGGCUCAUUAAGAUGCUCAUAUCCAGGUUUAUCUUUAAGUUUUUCUUCCUAAAGAACCAAAAAGUAAAGAAUUAUCAAGAGAAACCGAGAUGGUAUAAUAAUGUCAAGCAACAUCGAAUUUUAGUAAAUAUGAAAAAAUAGUUUGCAAAUGGAAGAUGCACUUUCCCAUUUGUAGAACAUGAAGAACAUGAAAUGAGUCUUGGUUUGCAAUUAACAGAUAAACUAGUAACAAUACAAAUUCAUUUCCAGUACAUAUGCCAUCAACGGAAAAACAAAACUACUCAAAAUAUAUAUCUACUCCUACCACAAUGAAGGAAAAGCACCAUAAUCAUACCAGCUGUUUCCGUGAAAAGAAUUAUGAGAAAAAAAAGCUAUAAUUUAUCUGGAAGUCAUUAUUCCGAAGAAACAUAAUUUAUAUGCAUGUAAUUUCAUGCUCAGCACAUCUUUCUCAAGUUAAAUCAAUCAGCAAAAUGUCAGGAUCCUCCAUUGAAUAUCAUAGAACUACAUCAUGCAUGAUCAUAAGCAAAUCCAGUCAUACCACGACCAAUAUCAGCACUAAACUAAAAAUUAAAGCGUAUGGUGAAUUGUUACAUAAAACCAGGAUAAUUUGAGAGCUAAUUAAAUAUCUCGAAUUGUAGCUUCCCUAAUCAAACAAACGAAACAAAAAAAUUAGAAAUACGUUUUUUUUUUUUUUAAUCAGAGAAGCACAUUGACACCAGAUAAAAGUGAGCAAGAGCUAAUGCUGUCAGACAAGUUAACAGGGUCCUCCUUUAGCAAGGUUCAAAUAGGAAGGACCAUGGUAAAAAUAAGAUGAGGUAAUUUACUUAACCUAUAAAAGUGAGCAAGAGCAAAUGCUGUCAGACAAGUUAACAUGGUCCUCCUUUAGCGAGGUUCGAAUAGGAAGGACCAUAGUAAAAAUAAGAGGUAAUUUACUUAACCUAUAAAUCCUACAAUUUAGUUGCAAGUAAAAUAACUCCAAUCUCAAACAUCAAACGCAUAAGAUUCAAAAAGCAGCUUUAGCUAUUAAAAUUUCACAUUUUCAUGCUUUGAGAGUUCAAGUCCACUUUGGCUUUGAUUAAAUUGAAUCAGCAACUUAUUUCAAAAUGCACAGCUCCACCAUAUUAUGAUAGAUCAUACCUUUAUCGAAUCCUUCGACUCUUUUGAGCGAGUUCCCACGCGGUCCCAAAAUCCGGCCGACAAAAUUAAACUGCUGUGUCUUUAAGUUAGAAACUAUUAUUAUAAGGAAACUAAAUACAUGAAUUUAUAGCGCUGAGGGCUAUAAAACUCCUGUUUGUAAAAGCAUCUUUUACUACUACGAUUACUAUGAGGGCUAUAAAACUCCUGUUUGUAAAAGCAUCUUUUGCUACUACGAUUACUAUAUUACACAUUUACACUUACUAUAAAUGAUGGCCUAUCAAUUUCAUUGAUCCCACAGCAAAGGCUAUUUACAAACAGGAGUUUUAUAGCCCUACCCUAUAAAGCUCAUUGGAGAUUUAGAGCCCUCCCCUAUAAAUCUAGGUAACAUUCCCUCCCCUAUAAUUUGGGGUCCCUUUGCUCAUUAGCUGCUGCAGCUCUCCUCUUCUUCUUUUUUCCUCUCUUAUCUCUUGUACUCUUCGAUUGCUCUGGUCGACACGGCCUUUGAUUGCUCUGUCAAUCUUAUACAAGACAUAUACAACACGACUUCAGAUCUUUUAGGAUCGCGCUUCUCUCUUCGUACUUGCUGCUUUCUCUCUUGUAAAGGUUUCAUUUCGAUUUUGAUUUGGAGUAAUAGUCCUUCAGGAUCGUGCUUGUCUCUUCAUACUAGCGGCUGUCUCUCUGAUAAGGUUUCAUUUCGAUUUUGAUUUGGAGUUGCUUUUUCUUUUAUUUUCAAGUAGAUUUGUUUCAAUUGAAAUGUUGGUUGUUAAUUUGGUGUUGUGUUGAGUUUUGCAGGUAAUGAUUGCUCUGAUCAAUCUAUUACAAAAUGGCUGACGGGAAAAAGGAAGUCAACCCAGCAAUCUUGACCGUCUCCCUUCUCUCUCUGACCUGAGCCACAACGUGUAUUUAAAAAUAAAACUUUACCCUAUAUAUACAGACAAUGCUCAAAAGAAAACAAAAAAAAAAAAAUCCCAAAUUUCCUUUUUAAAUUCUUACCAAUCAAUAAAAGUAUUUGAUAAUUUUUUUUUUCACAAUAGCUAUGACUUGAAAAAAUUAAACUAAUAUUAAAUGAGACUAAAUACAUAAUGAUCUCUUAAAUUCCUAUUUUUCUAAAGGAAUGGAUCUAAUACUUUCCUUAAUAUAGUAUUUUAAUGGUUUUGCAGGAACAAAAUUUAUAUGUCCGCGAUGGCAAACGCAUAUCAUAACGUGUUUGGAUAUCUCAUUCCAAUUCUCAUCGGCAUCGUGGGAGCAAAUAUGCAAGGCACAAAUGAGCGCUUGUUUGAAACACACACAACAAAUAUAUGGUCUUUUCUUAUAACCACAGCCAUUUAUUGUUAUGCACAUUUAGCUCAUCAAGAGAAUUCUUCCCAAUCUUGGGCCCUUGUAGCACGAGUCUCCGGAUCUGUUUCUGCAGUCUCCCAACCCUCCACAUUUGUUCCACGCUCUGAUAUUGGUCAUAUCAUAUUGUACACUGCAUGGCUUUGCUCGUCCAUUAUCAUUGUUGUGCAUCAAUAUGGGGCGCUGUUUGCAGAAGCUUGUCGUCAGCUCUACAACGAAACCUUGAAGCCAUUUUGCAGUAGGUUUCAAUCUAAUGACACUUCCUCGGCAGGACAACAACGACCAACACUACCAGUUUAGAAGGGGGCUUCUUCAAAUGUUUCACCUUAUACAGUACUACAGUAGCAAGCAAUCAUCUCAUAUACACGUAGUAAUUGUGAAAAGUAACAGAGAAAACAUAUUAGUGUCCAGAUUUCUUUGCUUGAAAUAGUGCUAAUUACUGUCAUCAAAUUUCGUCUUAUUCUUUUUAUUCCCCUCACAUGCAUUGUUAGAAUUCAAAGGGAUGUUAUUUCCCUUACAUUGACCCCAGUCAUAGCAUUCAUUGUCUUCCAGGCAAACUAUGCUUUUGAAUCUACAUUUGAGCAUUUACCUUAAGCACCAGUUUGCAUAAUGAGUUCUGUAUCCAAAUACUAUAUUCUUUUGACGUUGGUAUUGUUAUUAUAUAAACAUUGUUUGGUUUUGUUUAUUUUUCUUGUCAAGGUUGCAAGUUGGAUGAGUUUUCAUAGUGAGCCUCCUGUCAUAAAAUGGGCCGCCGGAAGUCUCAUGUUUGUUACGGGGUCAUCUGAGCUAUCAUUUUGGAAUCCUAGUGUGUCUAAACUAGGAGCUUACGUUGGGAGGAAGUAAGGUUUCUAACACUCAGCACCCUUAAGUAUCUGAAUAUUGAUGGCUAUCUAUUGCCGGGAGGGGAACCCGAAUUAUGAUGUCUUAAUAAAAAUAUUAAGACAUCUGACCCAUAUCGGUGAAACAGCCAUGGUCCUGGGUCCCCAUUGGGUCGUCCACGAUGGAUUGACCAGACUCCAAAAUAAUUGCCGAGUCUUGAGCACACAAGGGGCAGUUUUGCUUUUAAAAGAAAAAGUGCAUAUGAAGUGAAUAACUUCAAACUCUCCCUCGAAUUGCCACGUACACACUUCAAUUCUCUCAACGAGCGUCCCCGCAACGUCACACUCCACAAUAAUCUCAAAUAAUUUAGAACAAUUAUAUACUUCUGGCUGCUCUUAUCUUCCUUCUCACCGGCUGGUUGCAUUUUACUAACACUGCCGACUGAGAAUCAUAAUCCCUAUAGGUGUCACCACAACAUUGUCAUUUUUGAUCUAGCGUUAGUGUCAAGGAAGCUCAUGUUUGCAAGAUUACCAGCAAAGCAGAGGAUCACAGCAGCAGCAGCAUACAGUUACGAGUAGAUGACAUGGCAUGCCAGCUGGAGCCUGGUGGUUAUGUAAUUAGUUGUGCAUAUGUUAAUUAGCUAAAGUUGUUAUAGUUAGUUAACAGAAUAAGUGAAUUAGUUGCAGCUAAUUACAUCGUUUAGUGCUGAGCUUCAGCUUAGUAUAAAUAGCAACAACUUUGUACAUACGAAUAAGUUUUUUGAUUAAUGAAAUUUAGUUCUAAGAAAAUAUUCAGAUCUGGUUAUUCAUUUUCUCAGCUGCCAAACAUUAUUCUCGUUCUUCUUCUUGGUAUCAGAGCAGGUAACAAUGGCUUCAGUCCAUCUAGCUUCUUCUUCUUCUCAAGCGCCAAUUAAUCAAACAGUUAAUUCAACACAUGUGACAUUCACUUUCAGUACACCUAUUAAGCUAGAUCAAUCCAAUUAUUUGAUUUGGAAAUCUCAAGUUCUUGCCUCAAUCCGUGGCAACAGACUUGAGAAAUUCAUUGAUAAUUCAACCAUUCCACCUCCCUCACACAUUGCUCAACGAAUUGAAGAUGAACUGAGAUCUGUUGAAAAUCCAGAAUUCGCAACUUGGAGAUCACAAGAUCAGGUGCUUCUUGGCUGGUUACUUUCUUCAAUGAGUGAAGGUAUCAUCAGCUUAGUCUUCAAUCUAGAGACUUCUCGAGAGGUAUGGAAAGCUAUAGAGGUUCAAUUCGGAUCUCAGUCUAAAUCUAGGCUUCUGCACUUACGAUAUAUGAUGAACUCAACUAGAAAGGAUGAUCUGAAAAUUACUGAUUAUUUCAUUAAGAUGAAAAGUAUUGCUGAUAAUAUGGCUGCUGCUGGUAGUGCAUUAAGUGAUGAUGAUCUGAUCUUGCAUGUGCUCUCUGGUUUAGGUCCAGACUAUAACUCUGUUGCUACCUAUAUUACUGGACAAGUAGGAGUAGGAAAAAUGAAUGUAAAUGAAGCCUAUGCUAUGCUCCUAACUCAAGAAGCUAGGAUUGAACAACAAACUCAUAUGCUAGCUAAUACUGAUGUGAAACAAAACUUUGAGGCUAAUCUUACUUACAAUAGAGGUUACAAAAAGGGAAAUAUGUCUGGAGGAAGAGUUUUUGGUGGCUUUUGUUAUAAUCCUGGUUAUGGUACCGGUGGAAACAAUAACAGUAAUGGUUACAAGGGAGGUUAUAAUGGAGGUUCUGGAUUUAAUGCAAAUAGUGGAAGUGCUUAUGGCACUAAUUAUCAGUUCAAGGCUUAUCAAGGAGAUAAUCAAAGAGGUGGAGGAGGAGGCAACUGGAAUCCAAAUGCUGGAAAUGGUGGAUUUAACAAUAGCAGAUCUUCUGGAAACACUAAGCCUCAAUGGAAUGUCUCUAAGCCAACCUGUCAGAUUUGUCUCAGAACAGGCCAUACUGCCAAUAUUUGCUGGAAGCUUGAAGAAUUUAUUGCAUCUGGAUCUUACAGACCACCACCAAAUAGAAAUCCAAAGUCUGCAUAUCUGGCUAAUAUGGAGGGACCUGCUGAUGCUAACUGGUAUUUGGAUAGUGGUGCAACACACCAUCUGACAAAUGAUAUCAACAACAUGCAUGUCUCUGAAGUGUUUACAGGUAUAUCUAAACUUCUUGUUGGCAAUGGUGCUGGAUUGAGUAUAACACAUGUUGGUAGUGCUGCAUUGAAAUCACAUAACUCCCAUAAUACCUCCUUAACUCUUAAGCUAAAUGAUAUCCUUUUAGUGCCACAAAUUACAAAAAACCUUAUUAGCAUCUCUAAACUCACUAAUGAUAAUGAUGUUGUGAUUGAGUUUACUAAUAAUCUCUGCUUUGUGAAGGACAAGGUGAGGAAUUUGAUCAUACUGCAGGGCAAAGCUGAAAAUGGUUUAUACAAAUUGCUAUUAGUUUCAUCUAAUAAGCCAGUUCCCUCUGUUCAUCAAGUAUCUCCUGCAUCUAGUCAAAGCUUUGUUGCUGAGUCAAUAAUACCAACCAAUCCUCUUUCAAUGUUUUCAGUUGUCAAUUCUACUCUUUCAAAUAAUGCUUCUUGUCUGCAUACUGCAGCAACUCCUUGUAAAAAUUCUGAGUGUUUGUUAAGUACCUCUGUAUUGCAUCAAAGAUUGGGACAUCCAUCUUCUAAGAUUUUGAGCCAUGUAAUCAAAGCAUGUUCAUCUUUCAAACUGGAAAAUAAAACUAAAACCUUUGAUUUUUGUGAUGCUUGUCAAAUAGGAAAAAUGCACAAACUUCAUUUUCCAGCUACUGUUAUCAAAACAAAGUCUCCCUUGGAUAUGUUGCAUACUGAUUUAUGGGGACCAGCCCCUGUGGUUUCAUCACAAGGCUAUAGAUAUUAUGUGAGCUUUGUUGAUGACUUCACAAGAUUUACUUGGAUUUUUCCUUUGAAAACUAAAAGUGAAACACUGUCAGUCUUCAAAGUUUUCAAAAACCAAAUAGAGAAACAACUUGACAGAUCUAUCAAAUGUCUUCAAUCAGACUGGGGGGGAGAAUUUCGAUCAUUUGUUACUUUUCUUCAAACAGAGGGCAUCCAAUUCAGACAUUCAUGUCCAUACACUCACAACUAAAAUGGCAUUGUAGAGAGAAAGCAUAGGCAUAUCACUGAACUUGGUCUCACUCUUCUUACACAAGCCAAUCUACCUAUUAAAUUCUGGUGGGAUUCCUUUCAUACAGCCACAUAUCUUAUCAACAGAUUACCUACUCUAGUUCUGUCAAUGAAAUCCCCUUAUGAGUCUAUCUUUCAUCUCACUCCAGAUUAUCAAUUCUUAAGAACAUUUGGAUGUUCAUGUUUUCCCUUUCUCCGAGACUAUAAUCAACACAAGUUUCACUCUCAUACAUCCAAAUGUGUCUUCUUGGGGUAUAGUUCUGUGCAUAAGGGUUACAAGUGUCUCCAUCCCUCUGGAAAAAUCUAUAUAGCAAGUCAUGUUAUUUUUUAUGAGACUUCAUUUCCAUAUUCCUCCAUUUUCAGUUCAUCUUCUCCAUCCAAGUCUUCUGGAUUUCAAUCCAAUCUUCUUCAGCAAUAUAUUAUACCUAUUUCUAAUAGCAAUUUGAAUACCUUUGAAGCUGCUACUGCAAGUAAUGAUCAAAAUUCUGAUAAUCUUGAUAUUACAUCUUCACCACUUCCUCACAACACAUCAUCUCAACCCUCACCACCUGCUACUUUAUUCCAGCAAACCACAUUCUCUUCACCAACUCAACCUACCAUGUCACACUCUUUGAUUCACCCAGCACAAUCAUCUCAACCUAAUCCAAUUCCUUCCACACACAAAAUGAUAACCAGAGCAAAAGCUGGAAUAUUCAAACCAAAGGCCUACCUAACAGAUCACAAUAGCCUGGAACCAUCCACUGUUUUAGAAGCAUUAUCUGAUCCCAAAUGGAAAGCAGCAAUGCAGUCUGAGUAUGAUGCUUUGACUAAGAACAAAACUUGGACUCUGGUGCCCAUGUGCUCAUCCUAUAAACCAGUUGGAUGCAAAUGGGUGUUCAGAACCAAGUACAACACAGAUGGCUCAGUUUCCAAAUACAAAGCUAGGCUGGUGGCCAAGGGAUUUCAUCAAACUGCACGUAUAGAUUAUUCAGAAACAUUUAGUCCUGUAGUGAAGUCUGCAACAGUAAGAUUAAUCCUUAGCCUAGCUGUCAUGAAAAGUUGGAAUGUCAGACAAAUUGAUGUGAAUAAUGCCUUCUUAAAUGGUGAUUUGUCAGAGGAUGUGUAUAUGAUUCAGCCUGAGGGUUUUAUGUCCAAAGAAGGCUACAUAUGCAAACUUACCAAGGCUUUAUAUGGUUUGAAACAAGCUCCAAGAGCUUGGUAUGAUAAACUGAAAAGCUGUCUUACUGCCUGGAAUUUCUGCAAUUCUAAAGCUGAUACAUCUUUUUUUGUUAAGCAUGAUGAUAAAGGCAUUAUUAUUAUAUUGAUCUAUGUUGAAGAUAUUUUGGUGACUGGCCCUGACUCAACAUUACUUGAAGAGUUUAUCAGUAAUCUCAGUAAGGUCUUUGCCCUCAAGGAUCUGGGAUUGGUGGCUUAUUUUCUUGGAGUAGAAGUAUGUUAUACAGCUCAAGGAAUGCAUUUGUCACAGACUAAGUAUAUCAAGGAUCUGAUAAGCAAAGCUUCAAUGCAAAGCUGCAAAGGGUCAGAUACACCUUUCAGCACUGGUUUCAAACUAGAGAAGAAUGUUCAAGGUCCUCUGGGGCAGGAAUUCGAAGAACCAGCUCUUUAUAGGAGCAUUGUUGGAGGGCUUCAAUAUUUGAUUCUCACCAGGCCUGACAUUGCAUAUUCUGUACACAAACUCAGCCAAUAUCUCAGUAAUCCUACACUCCAGCACUGGUUAGCAUGCAAGAAAGUUCUCAGGUAUCUUCAAGCUACAGCCACUCAUGGUUUAUAUAUCCAAAAGGAGGGAACUCUUGGACUUACAGGUCUAACUGGAUACUCUGAUGCUGACUGGGCAUGUGAUAUUGAUGAUCGAAAAUCUAUUGGAGCCUACUGUAUUUACUUGGGUAAUAAUCUAAUUUCCUGGUCAUCAAAAAAACAAGCUAUUGUAGCUAAGUCGAGCACUGAAAGUGAAUACAGAGCACUCUCUUCAGCAAGUUCAGAACUUUCAUGGCUGCAAUCUCUGCUGUUAGAACUUAACAUUGUCCAACUACCAGCUCCAAUCGGUGUGACAAUCAGAGUGCAGGAGAGUUAGCUAGAAAUCCUAUUCUUCACUCUAAAUCAAAACACAUUGAGUUGGAUGUCCAUUACAUUAGAGAUAAAGUGCUUGGAAAAGAAUUAGAAGUGAAAUACAUUCCUACUGAAGAACAAGUUGCUGAUGUCCUUACCAAAGCUCUGUCAUUUCCCAAGUUCAACUAUUUUCGAUCCAAGCUCAAUGUCAUCAACAGACCAUUGAGCUUGAGGGGGGAUGUCAAGGAAGCUCAUGUUUGCAAGAUUACCAGCAAAGCAGAGGAUCACAGCAGCAGCAGCAUACAGUUACGAGUAGAUGACAUGGCAUGCCAGCUGGAGCCUGGUGGUUAUGUAAUUAGCUGUGCAUAUGUUAAUUAGCUAAAGUUGUUAUAGUUAGUUAACAGAAUAAGUGAAUUAGUUGCAGCUAAUUACAUCGUUUAGUGCUGAGCUUCAGCUUAGUAUAAAUAGCAACAACUUUGUACAUACGAAUAAGUUUUUUGAUUAAUGAAAUUUAGUUCUAAGAAAAUAUUCAGAUCUGGUUAUUCAUUUUCUCAGCUGCCAAACAUUAUUCUCGUUCUUCUUCUUGGUAUCAGAGCAGGUAACAAUGGCUUCAGUCCAUCUAGCUUCUUCUUCUUCUCAAGCGCCAAUUAAUCAAACAGUUAAUUCAACACAUGUGACAUUCACUUUCAGUACACCUAUUAAGCUAGAUCAAUCCAAUUAUUUGAUUUGGAAAUCUCAAGUUCUUGCCUCAAUCCGUGGCAACAGACUUGAGAAAUUCAUUGAUAAUUCAACCAUUCCACCUCCCUCACACAUUGCUCAACGAAUUGAAGAUGAACUGAGAUCUGUUGAAAAUCCAGAAUUCGCAACUUGGAGAUCACAAGAUCAGGUGCUUCUUGGCUGGUUACUUUCUUCAAUGAGUGAAGGUAUCAUCAGCUUAGUCUUCAAUCUAGAGACUUCUCGAGAGGUAUGGAAAGCUAUAGAGGUUCAAUUCGGAUCUCAGUCUAAAUCUAGGCUUCUGCACUUACGAUAUAUGAUGAACUCAACUAGAAAGGAUGAUCUGAAAAUUACUGAUUAUUUCAUUAAGAUGAAAAGUAUUGCUGAUAAUAUGGCUGCUGCUGGUAGUGCAUUAAGUGAUGAUGAUCUGAUCUUGCAUGUGCUCUCUGGUUUAGGUCCAGACUAUAACUCUGUUGCUACCUAUAUUACUGGACAAGUAGGAGUAGGAAAAAUGAAUGUAAAUGAAGCCUAUGCUAUGCUCCUAACUCAAGAAGCUAGGAUUGAACAACAAACUCAUAUGCUAGCUAAUACUGAUGUGAAACAAAACUUUGAGGCUAAUCUUACUUACAAUAGAGGUUACAAAAAGGGAAAUAUGUCUGGAGGAAGAGUUUUUGGUGGCUUUUGUUAUAAUCCUGGUUAUGGUACCGGUGGAAACAAUAACAGUAAUGGUUACAAGGGAGGUUAUAAUGGAGGUUCUGGAUUUAAUGCAAAUAGUGGAAGUGCUUAUGGCACUAAUUAUCAGUUCAAGGCUUAUCAAGGAGAUAAUCAAAGAGGUGGAGGAGGAGGCAACUGGAAUCCAAAUGCUGGAAAUGGUGGAUUUAACAAUAGCAGAUCUUCUGGAAACACUAAGCCUCAAUGGAAUGUCUCUAAGCCAACCUGUCAGAUUUGUCUCAGAACAGGCCAUACUGCCAAUAUUUGCUGGAAGCUUGAAGAAUUUAUUGCAUCUGGAUCUUACAGACCACCACCAAAUAGAAAUCCAAAGUCUGCAUAUCUGGCUAAUAUGGAGGGACCUGCUGAUGCUAACUGGUAUUUGGAUAGUGGUGCAACACACCAUCUGACAAAUGAUAUCAACAACAUGCAUGUCUCUGAAGUGUUUACAGGUAUAUCUAAACUUCUUGUUGGCAAUGGUGCUGGAUUGAGUAUAACACAUGUUGGUAGUGCUGCAUUGAAAUCACAUAACUCCCAUAAUACCUCCUUAACUCUUAAGCUAAAUGAUAUCCUUUUAGUGCCACAAAUUACAAAAAACCUUAUUAGCAUCUCUAAACUCACUAAUGAUAAUGAUGUUGUGAUUGAGUUUACUAAUAAUCUCUGCUUUGUGAAGGACAAGGUGAGGAAUUUGAUCAUACUGCAGGGCAAAGCUGAAAAUGGUUUAUACAAAUUGCUAUUAGUUUCAUCUAAUAAGCCAGUUCCCUCUGUUCAUCAAGUAUCUCCUGCAUCUAGUCAAAGCUUUGUUGCUGAGUCAAUAAUACCAACCAAUCCUCUUUCAAUGUUUUCAGUUGUCAAUUCUACUCUUUCAAAUAAUGCUUCUUGUCUGCAUACUGCAGCAACUCCUUGUAAAAGCAUAUGUGUUUAUUUAAUUGUAAUAAACAAUUUUUCUGAUUAAUAAAAUAAAUGAGGUAUUUUAUUCAAAUAUCUUAAUUGCAUUAAUAUUUGUAUUAAAGUCCAUUUAAUCAUAUUAUAUGUAUUUAUGUGAUCACCAUGUGGAUUCACGGAAGACAUAAAUACAAGUUAUCUUAUGAUUAAAUAAAUUUAGUUCGCAGUUAAUAAAUAAAGUUGGGCACUUUAUUUAGGUAUAGACUGUAAUAAAUUCAUUGAAUGAUUUGUCUUAAUCAUGUAUGAAUUUAUUGAUGUAGUACGACUACAUUGAACAGGAUCACAUAUGAGAUUUAAUUAACUUUGUAAUAACUGUCAGACUUAUUAAAUCUCAUAGGCGUUGAUUUUACUGUAAUCUUAAUCUUGAGUUAAUUAUGAUUUCAUGAUUGUGAUUGUUAUUUCAUUUGAGUUACCAAUGGGCACGACACAUCCUUAUGGUCAAGAUUACCCGGUAUCUUGGUGGGAGCAAUUAUGAGUAUUGGAGUUAUGGAUUAACAAUAUAGAAUUUGUACAACACAUCUCUUGAUAGGUUUUCGGUACUUGAUCAUAGAAUUAUCUGGCCAGAGUGUGUCAACAUAUUUAGUAUGUUGAAAAUAAUCAUUAGAGAAAACCAGUAAGGAUCAAGGAAUAAGAUGUUAUUAAAUUGAUUGGACAGUUGAGAUAUCAAUUUAAUUCACGAUGUGGUACAAAGGAUUGUGCAGUAAAGAAAUCAAUGUGGCUUGGGACGAAUUAUUAUUCGCGCAUACAAUUAUGGAAGUCAGUUCCAAUCUUUUAGUGGAGUAGAUUUGGAAUUAAAUAAUUGGGCUAGUUUAAUUACAGGCCUAAUUAUUGUAGCCACUAUUGUAUGUUCCCAAAUGAUCCCCGGGUUAGCUCAUUUAAUUGACUGCACCACUACUGGACUAAUAAGUAAGAUAACUAGCUAUUUGGGUCAAAAGCCUAAAUAUAUCAUUUAGUGGGAGGCUCCAUUUAAUUAGCUUUUGUAUAAGGGGCCUUAUGUUAUUUUACAAGGUGGGUCCCUUAUUGAAAAAGCAAAUAACGUGGGUUUUGUUUUUUGGAUUUUUGGAGCCUAGGGUUUUCGCUAAAGGGUGAUAUAAAAGGCUUAUUUUCUCAAAAGAAAAAUGCGGAAGCCACUUUAUACAGAUCAGAGAAAAAGAUUUUUCUCUCCAUUGUUGAGAGAAAAAUUUUCUCGUGCUAGUUGCUUUGGUAGUGAUAAAGGCGCCCACACGUCAAGUGCAGAUCGAACCUGAGUCAUAACCUGGAAGAUCAUUGGAGACAGUUCGUGAUCUAACAAGCGUGGUGGUGACGGAUCGUGAUCUAACAGAAGUGGUGGUGGCGGAUCGUGAUCUAGGAGCCUAAAUCACUUCAGCGGAAAAAGCCAACUCGGAUUUUCAAGGUACGAUUUCUGGAUUACGUAUUCCUAUAUAUUAUAUGAGAGCGGUCCUUAACAGGUUUUAUAAAAAUUUAAAAACCGGAUUUUUCCCCAACACUGUCAUGUCUCCCCAAUGUCAGAUCAUGUCCUCAACCAACUCUUUUGGCUUUCAUCGCCCAUUUUUCUUCAUUUUACAGCAUGAAGCUAAUACAAAGCCAAAUGAAAAGUAGAUUAGUCAUUUCAAAUUCAAUUUAAUUGUCAAUUGAAAAGUUCAAUUGUUACCUUCAUAAACUCUAGAAUCAAUAGUUAAUGAAAUAUACAAUAAGAAGAGUAAAUAUUAAUAGCGCACCAAUAUUACAAAUCUGCUAAAAUUAUUACCGCUGAGAGAAAACGAGCAAUGGAUACAGGUCCUUCUUCGUGCGAUCGAGAAGUGAGAUCAGAUUGGAAGUGAGAGUUGAGAUCGAGGGAACAAUGGAGACUGAUUCUUCAUCUCCGUAAUUUUCCCCUUUUUUGCUAAAAUGCUAUUUUGCAUUUUCCGUAUUUCGAUUUUGUUUUUAAUUAGGUAAGAAAAAAAGAUCGGGCCCUAUUUGAAAAGAAAAAUAAAAAGGGCCCUAAAAGUAAUUUCCCCUAGCCUAUGCAUUCGAUAAAAUAUUUCAUUACGUCCGUGGACAGAUUGCCCUUGAAAAAAUAUAUUAUAUUUUUCGCAUUGGUCCAACGGUUUGUCAAUGUCUUUGUAAAAAGCACAUAUUUUCAAAGGUAAAUAACACUCUCACAAAUGUUUAAUCAAUAAUACCGUUGUUUUUUGAAGUGAUAACUACUGAUUAUAUAUUGAUUCUUCAAAAUAAUUACACAUUUAUCAUAAUAUUAUUUAUUUAUUUUAUAAUUGAUAUAGUACUUUAAAGAUAUUUUAAAAUUUUUCCACUCGACAAUGCCUAAUCAAGGGUAAAGUUUAAAUUAGGAUCCGACUACGGUGCAAUUGUGGUACCGUGCCACAGUUGCAUCUAGUCAUUGGAUCCACUUGGAUGAGUGGUGUUUAUUGGGAUCCAACGGGCACAAUUUUUCCCUUUAAAUUAUGUCACAAAAAAUCUUUGAACAAUAUUAAACAAAGCGUUUACUUGUAUAACAAAAGAAUGCAUAUGAAAGCAUGAGCGGACCCAAUUAAGGCUUAGGAGGGGCAUUAAGUUUUCUUUUAAAUGUACCCCAAGCCCCUUCUGAAAAAGUUAAAUAAAACAAUUUAGACACCUUUUUCAUAUAUUAAAAGACUUGUGAUUUCAUGGUAGAUUGUUAUUUAAUGAUUUUAAAACUUUGGUUCAAAUCUUAUUAGCCACAUUAUUUUAUUUUUUAAAAUAUUUUGUAGAAACUACUUCGAAAAAUGAUAUUUUCACGUAUUAAAAAUAAUAAUUUAUUACUAUUAUUAUUUAGAAUUUAAAAAAAAAAGUAAUAAAAUUUGAGUUUAUAAGAUUUAAAAUGUAUUCAAGUGAACAUUAAAAAAAUUUAAGUUAAAUAAAAUUUUUUGAACUAAACCCCCUCUCAUUUUAGUUUCUGGAUCCGCCACUAUAUGAAAGGACAAAAAGAGUGAAGGUAUGAGUUUGAUUAUGAUCACAGUAAUUAUUUCUAUUUCAAAGAUUGAAAUGUAAACAUUAGUUUAUUUUGUGGAAUUUUCUCUGUUACAUUUUAAAAUUACUACAUGUUCAUGGAUGACUGAUUGCUACUAUGCAAGGCAAACAUUUUAUUUUGAGAAAAUUCCUUCUAGACUGGUAGCGUUGGUCGCAGCUGCACUGUCGAGGAAGUGUUAUAAGCUCGAAACCUAUUGCAAAUGUCAAUGCAAAAUAGCUUCAAGGUUUCGCUGUAGAGUUGACGACAAGCUUCUGAAAACAAUGUGCCAUAUUGAAACACAACAACAAUAAUGGCAGUGCCAAUCCAUGUAGUGUACAAAAUCAAAUGACCAAUAUUGGAACGUGGAAUAAAUGUGGAGACCAAGUUAUCCUGGUUUUAUGUAACAAUUAUACCCAAAUUAUUAGGGAAUCUAUAAUUUGGGUUAUUUGAUUAGCACUCUAAUUAUCCUGGUUUUAUGUAACAAUUUGUCAGAUGCUUUAAUUUUUGGUUUAGUACUGAUUUGGAAGUUUUUGAAUUACCAAUUUUACUGAUAAGAAGAUGAUGAUAAGUUAGGAUUUUACUUUUUAGCACUCUUUUAUACUAAAUCAUAAAACAUAAAUUUACCAAAUUAUGUAACCCGAACUAUGAUGUCUUAAUAAAGUUGUGAUGGCAAAACAAACCCAAAAAAAAAAGGGUACUUAAAUCCAAGUCUAAAGAAAAAUGAAAAAACUGAAAAGAAUUUUAACAAUUAGAAAAGAGAACUUCAAAUAAUGAAAUGAUACCCAGAGAAAUUGAAAUUAGAGAUGAACGGCUUGACCCAUAUCGGUGAAACAACCAUGGUCCUGGGUCCCCAUCGGGUCGUACACGAUGGAUUGACCAGACUCGGAAGUAAUUACCAAGUCUUGAGCACACGAGCAGUUUUGUUUUUAAAAGAAAAACAACUAUUUACUCUGGCUGCUCUCUAUCUCUCCUCACCAACUGAGUCACCGGUUGGUUGCAUUUUACUAACACUGCCGCCUGAGAGAUCACAAUCCGUGUACGCGUCCACCCUAACUGAUUUUUAGGGCAAUUAAUGAUAUAAAAUUAUUUAAAUGAAAGUAAUUUAAAUUUAUUUUUCAAGUCACCAGGAGCUUCAAUUCCUACUGGGCACCAUAUGGCACUGCCUAUGGAAUCAUUCAAUGGUCUUAUAGUACAUAAAUCACUUUCUUUUUCACGUGUGGAUGGAAAUAAUAUGAAUAGACAUAUGACUCUUUUCAAAUAUUGAAAGAAAAUAAAUACAUCAUUAUGAUAUUUACAAUAAAAACCACGCACUCAAGAUUUUAGUUAAAUCAUACUUAAUUCAAAUUUCAGACAAAAAGAAAAAGAAAUGUCACCUUUAGCCUUUAAUUAAAAAGUGUAUGGGGUAAUAUAUAUUAGUAAAUGAGAACUAGUAGUGGUCAAAACAUAAUAACUCUAAUUGUAGGGUCAAUUUUAUAAAAAUAAUAAACUUUUUGAAUGUACGAUGGACUGGUUUUAUUGUUGUAGUUAAUUUUGUGUGAUACAGAAAGUGAGAGAGUGUGAAACGACGAUGAUGAGUCACAAAAUAGAGGCAUAUAUAGUAUCAUAUAGCCAAGCAAAAAGAAUAGGGAGAGAUACCGAAAGUCUGAAACCGAAACACUUUUCGUCGCUUUGUUCCCUAGCUCGCCGAUUUGACUACACUUAGAGAUUGCAUUAUCACCAAAAAAAAAAAAAAAACUCUUUUAAUUUAAUUUUUAAAAUAUUUAUUUAUUUUAUUUUAAUCAAACUCAUUAAAAAAAAAUAACGAUUAUAACAUUCUCUCUUUUCAUGAAUUAUGAGAUAUAAAAUAAAAUAAUAUUAAAAUAAAGAUUGCAAAAUACUUUAUAAAUUAGGUUACUCAAAUAAGAUAAUGUUUCUUUCUCUUUAAAAGAGAAAUGCACUAUAUUAUUUAAAAAAUCUCAUUUAAAGAGUCCUUUACAACUCUUUUUAUUAAUAUAACUCUUCAAAUAAAUAAUAAAAUUUUAUCUAAAAAUUUUUUUGUUGAUGCUCUUAUCAAUUAUCAUUAAUAUUUAUCUAUUAUUUCAUUUUAUUUAAAUAUCAUACCAUAUGAAAUAAAAUUUCUGGUGCUUGAAACAUUACUCCUUAUCUAUUCAAGUCUGUUAAUAAUUAAGCUAAACCUCGGAGUCUCUAAUAUUGGGCAAAUUAAAUUUUGGAAGCAGGCCAACCUAUUGUUAGAUCUGCCUUUCAAAUUAUUGACUUAACACUGUCAAAAAAGAAGAACAUUUUGCAUGUAUACGUGAUGAUUGCUUGCCACUGUAUGUGGUACUGCCAAAGGUGAAACAUUUGAAGAAGAUUCCUUCUAAACUGGAAGUGUUGGUCGUUGGUGUCCUCCUGAGGAAGUGUCAUUAGCUCGAAACCUAUUGCAAAUGUUGAUCCAAAAUGGCUUCAAGGUUUCGUUGUAGAGCUGACCGCAAAAUGGCUCCAAGGUUUUGUCGUAGAGCUGACGACAAGCUUUUGUAAACGACUUCCGAUAUUGAUGCAGAACAAUGAUAAUGCAAGCGCAAAUCCACGCAGUGCACGAAAUGAUAUGACCAAUUUCCGAGCGUGGAACAAAUGUGGAGACCAAAAAGACAGCAGAAAUAGAUCCAGAGACAACUGCUACAAGGGCCCAAGAUUGGGAAGAAUUUGCAUAACAAUAUAUGGAUGUGGCUAUCAAGAAAGACCAUAUAUUUAUUGAGUGUGUUUCAAUCAAGGACUUAGUUUGGCCUUGAACAUUUGCACCCACAAUGCCGAUGAGAGCCACAGUAAGAUACCCAAAAAUGUGGGGAUAGGACAUUGAGGAGAAGUGAUUUCGUCCGCUGCAAAAUCGUUAAAAUGAUUAAUCAAUCUUCUAUAUAUUCCAUUUCCUUUGAAAAAAAAAAAUUAAAAAGACCCUGUAUUAAUUUCCUCUUAAAUUGUCUGUCAAUUAUUUGUAUUCAACUGAUGCAAUUCUCCUCUAAAAAUUUGAGGGAGAACUUUUCAUGUGCACCCAAAUGACUCAUCAAAAUUUUAUCCUAUACACACUUGUUUCAAUAGCUUUCACGGCUCACUCUUUUCUGUUAAAUAUUGUUUUUAUCAUUAAUUUUGAUAUCUUUGACAUUAAAAGACAAUUUUACCCUUACUUAAAAUUUUAAGUGUAAAAUUACUAGAAAACCACAACACUAGUUUCAAAUUCCAAUUGACUUGUGUGGAUAUUAAAAUUUGUUAAAGGUUAAAAAAAAGUAAAAAUAUUUUGUUAUGGUAAUCAAAAUAUCUCCUAUACCAUCAUCCAUAAUCGUCUAUUCAUGAUAACAAUUUAAUAAACUUGAAAAAGUAAGAAAUCCAAUCCCACUCAAUCAAACAGCCAAUUUUCUUCAUAAAGUUUAGUUUUUGCUUUUAAAAAUUCCAUUUUCUUCAUAAUGUUUAGCUUUUGCUAUUAAAAAUUCUAACUCUUGAGAUCCUAAAUAGACCCAUAUUCAAAGUUACAUGUUUCUAUAACGAGAAUCUUUAAUUUACCCCUUUAAAAUUUUGAAAACAUUAAUUUACUUCUAUUUAUCAGUCAAAAAAAUAAAAUAAAUGGAGACACGUUGACGAUUAACUUUUUAACUUCUUAGUGGUAUUUGAUAAAUAUAAAUAAAUUGAAAAUUAUCAUUUUAAGUGGGGAUAAGUUAAUAAUCUUACUGUAUAUUUAUUGUGCUGUAACAAGAGAAAGAAAGAAAAAAGAAAACAAAUCUCUUCUACAGCAGUCUUAACAAAAUUUUCAGCAGGGACUUAACCAAUUCUUUCACGGAAAUUAAAUUAGGUCUCUUUGAAAAUUAUCGCCUUGUGGAAAAUUUGCAAAAGAGGUCUGUGUUAACUUUGCAAAAAUCCGACGUGGGAAAAUCCACUCAUACGUUGUCCCUUUGUUGUGGUGUUGAUGUAGUUUGACUAGUUUCUUUAUUUUUUAGCUCCCAGACAAAAGAGGGUUGAAAACUAAAAUGAUCGAUUAAUGGGUUCCCCUCUCAAUCUCAAGGCCGAAAGGGCCACUGUGCCCCAUGGGAAAAUUUAAUAAAAUCGGAGUCAAAUCCACGUCAUAUAAUGGGAUGAUAAAAACGUAUAUUUAGUAUGAUUUAUUUAAUUAUUAUAAAUAUUUAUUUAAUAUCACGAGAUCUUAUCAAAAUUUUUGUUAUUAUUUAGUUUUUUUUAGAAUUUUUGAAAAUUAAAUAAAAUAUUUUAUCUCUAUUAACAAAAACUCAAAUUUGAAGAUUCCAGAAGCAUAAGUAGAAGCUGAAAAUUUUUUUUAAACAUUAAAAUAUCUAAAAUAUGACUUACUUAUUUGAUUAUUUUAUUUUAUUUUAUUUUCAUAACUUAAUUUUAAAAAAACAUUAUCUAUUAAAAUAACUUUAUAAUUUUUAAUAAAAAUUUUAAUAGACAAUCAACUAAUUAAAAUUUUUUGAGUAAAAAUUUUAUUUAUAAGAGUUUUAUUAAUAAAAAAUGUAUUUACAUAAAUUCUAUUUGAAAACAUAUUAACAUCCACAUCAUACCGGUACAAGACGCAAGAGUGUUGAAAAUAACGUUAAAACCCGUCAAGGGGCACCGAUCAAGUUCAAGGGGUACAGCGCCAAGUGGCUGAACUUAAUGGGCCCGGUGGGGAACUUAGGUGGUAUCGUCCCUAUCACAAUGUGAAAAUUUUAUCAAACAGCAAGAUGUUUUCAAUGAGGACAUUAGUUUUGUGUUUGUCACAAAUAGGUCCCUAACUUAGUGUAAUGACUAAGAAUUAACUGAAACAAAAUAUAUUAAUUCUGUAUUAAUUUUUUUAUUAAGAAUUAAUUGAAAAUUUAUGAUAUUUUCUUAAUUUUUGCCACAUUUUUUUAAUUAAUUAUAAUUUAAAAAUUUAUUAGAUUAAACACAUAAUUAAAAGUAUUCAUAUUCUCAACAUCAAACAAUCACUAAAGGUAAAAUGGUAAGGUUAAUAAAAAUAAAAAUUGAUACUCAAAGGGGUUUGGAUGUGUUUUUAAAAUACUAAGGAAGUUUCAAUUAGUUUUAUCAAACAAGGGAUUUUUGUUCCUUUUUUUCCUCCAUUGUUUUCGCGGUUCAUAUUCAAUAAUGGAUUUGAAAUAGAAAAUAAUCGUAAUUUAUUUUUUUCAUUCACUCACUAAUUAAUUCAGUGGUGCUUAGCUGACUUAUGUUUCAGCUUAUGAGCAAUUGGGUGAUAUCUUAUACCAUGUUAUGUAUUGAGGUGGUGUAAGUUAAUAAUAAAAAAAAAAUAUUGUAAUUAUAAAAUAAAAGCUAAUAGUUUGUAAUAAAUAUGACUUUUAAUUAAUAAUUUUAACAAAAAUAAAGACAUUAUAGAAUUUUCAUCAUACAAGUGGUUAAUUAAAACAACUUAACUUUUAAAUCACGUCAGUUAGUGUUUACCAAAUACUUGAUGCUGUAACUAACCUUAAUACCAAAAGGUGCCAUCGCCUUCCACCAUUGAUGUGUUGAGGUCAUAUUGGUUGGAAUGUACGGGGAGGUAGAUGAUGGCAUUUUUGCCUUAUUCGUGCUUCAGAAUGAAGCAGAUUAUUCGUGGCAGACUUUUAAUUAAUAUUUAUUUCCUUGUGGUUUCAUAAGCAAAAUUGGAAUGUUAACGGUGUGGUUGUUGUCAUAGCACAGCAGCGAGUCCUGUAGUCUUUUUUGCAACCCAGUUCCGCAAUGCUGUCCCGAAUGGACAGAAGCCAAGGGCGUGGUGGGCAAAGGGCUCGACACUGACUUCUAAAGAGGGCCGGGAGAAAAACUUACUUGGGAUGGUCAACAGUCACACUCCUCGACUCAAUGACUGGCCAAUUUGAACCGUGCGCUCUUCCCACUUCAAUGCUUCUCAAUCUGAGUUGGAAGGUAUGUCAGAAGAGUGACUUCAAAAUCCUUUGAAUGAUUGAACAUAAUUUUUAAUCUAUGCCAAAACCAACUACUCAAAUGUAAAAUUUAUUAACAUACGAUUGGAUGAUCAUAUUCUUGAGGCAGCUUACAGGGAUAACAAAAAUAAUAGAAUGGUGCAACAAAAGUACAAGAGCUGAUUCACUAAGGCUACAUACAACAAGAGAAUAUGGUAAAUAAACUGAAAUUACAAAGCAAUUAUUAAUUAUUGGUCAUCUGUUUCAAGUGAAUAGCAAGCAAAAGUAUCUAGCAAAGUACAUUCAAAGGUCAUAUCACUUCAGCUGCAGGCUGGAAUAGCAAAUAAAAAUUAAUUAGGGAAUGAGUUUCUUUUAAUCCAUUAAGUAACAAAUUCGAUACUCAAGAGGAAUAAUACACCAAAGAAUCAUGAUUGCUGACAAACAUGUUAGCUAUAUAGAACACAAACAUGGGAAGCAGAUACCCGUCUGAGAUGCCAACAGUUGAGCGCAAAACUAACUCAGGAUUUCGACCAACUGUUCUCGAAUCAAGUCCCUCCCCAAGGUUCUGAAGAACAAAACCAAUGAAGAUUGUCAGGACAGCAAUCCAUCAGCUGCAGUGAUCCAGUGGUUCAUCGAU